GCCAGAGGAGUAGCUCAGUUGGUACACAAUGAGACUCUUAAUAUUAGGGUCAUGGGUUCAAGCCCCAUGUUGGGCA